rnacentral:lncRNA from 1 species
CUGCGCAAGCAAGGUUGUCGGUAGGCGCAAGCAAGUCGUCUGGCUCCAAUAACCAGGAAGCGCACGGUUUGUGGAAACAUCGCAACUGCCACUUUCAAAGAAAGGUCGUCAAAACCACACCGCUGACCAACGGACAAUAACAGCGGCAGCUAGCAGCUGUUCUGGUAAAGAGAGCUCGUAUCAACCAGCAGCCGAGUCCGAGAUCACCCGGAAGAUAAUUCGACAAGACGAAACACCACCGAGCAAACAGCAGUUCAAAAUAACAACAAACUAACCGCACCGUACGACGCCGCUCUGACGCCCCUCUUCAAACCACAUUUUUGGCUACGCCUAAAAUAAGAUUUUGAAUCCGGCCUGAGCAGCUAGCCAGACCAAGAACCGGGACGAGAAACCCAAAACGCGUUCGUUACAGUACAACUAAUACGAACAAGGCACCGGGGACGUGGACAUAUGGUUGGGGAGAAGAGACGCCCAGCCUGCCUGCCAGAGCCCGCAUGCUACUUCGUGCGGCCCUUCCGGGCUACCGUGCUCUUCCGCAUUGGUAACCAGCAGGCAGCCGACGGCCUCGCUUGGGUUACUUUGGCCCCACGCCUAACCCAGCGAAACAUCCCCCCUCACCCAGUCGCGUCACAUUCGCUCCACCACUGUCCGCCUCACCGCAACGGACCGGCGGAUAUAGACCAGCACCGCAUCAGACCUCCACCGCCCGUGCGCCUUAAUCUCCUCCAGACCCACCCCAGCAUUGGCAGCCGCGGUGGCCCCGCCCUUGCGCAAGCUGUGGGCCGAUAUCCUAGCGAGAUCUAGCUUCAACUCCGGCUCGUACCCCUGCAACUCACCCAGCAACACAUGCAGCCUACUAGUGAAAUCCCCGCGCCGCCACACCGUGCCCUGCUUACCCGGCCCAGUGAUUCCCCGUACGAAGAGCGGGGAGUGACCCUCGGCCGUCCGCACGCACUCCAGGUGCCGCUGUAUGCGAGCAAUGGGGAUGCCGCUCUGGGUGAGUGCUGCCAGGCACACCAACGUCCCCGCUCCCUUCUGGUCCGUCUUGCUACGUACGAUCUGCAGCCCUACACCCCCUCCCGGCAACUCCUCAACGCAGCCCACUGUCAGGGCCGCCAACUCGCUCCUCCGGAGCAUUCCGAAAAACCCCAACACCUGCCAGCAGGCGUCCUGGGUGAACUCCGUCGCCCUCCGCGGCUCCGCAUUUGCCCUGCACCGUCGCCGCCUCGACUCGUAGGUGACCGAUGAGCUGUCUGCGACCGCGCUGCCGUGUAACGCCACAGCCAGCUGUGCCAGUUCCUCCGUAACACUCCCAAGGGCCACUGAUCCGAUCCCCGCCACCGCAAGCAAGCAAGUGGUGCAGCGGUACCAACCGCCGGGGUAGGCGCCUGGGGCGAUUCCUCCCUCAAGAAUUCCCCCCUCACCAAGUCCAGAUUGGCCAAAACACAAACGCCACCAAGAUGCCUCCUUAUCCCCGAGGAGGGGGCAGAUAUCGCGGUGCGCGCCCCGUCUAUCGCCCGACGGGGAGGGCAGCUCUAACCCGCAGCGUGUGGGGGCCCUCCAACUGGGCUAAACGUCAGCACGACGCCUCCUUAUCCCCGAGGAGGGGGCCGAUAUCGCGGUGCGCGCCCCGUCUAUCGCCCGACGGGGAGGGCAGCUCUAACCCGCAGCGUGUGGGGGCCCUCCAACUGGGCUAAACGUCAGCAUGACGCCUCCUUAUCCCCGAGGAGGGGGCCGAUAUCGCGGUGCGCGCCCCGUCUAUCGCCCGACGGGGAGGGCAGCUCUAACCCGCAGCGUGUGGGGGCCCUCCAACUGGGCUAAACAUCAGCACGACGCCUCCUUAUCCCCGAGGAGGGGGCCGAUAUCGCGGUGCGCGCCCCGUCUAUCGCCCGACGGGGAGGGCAGCUCUAACCCGCAGCGUGUGGGGGCCCUCCAACUGGGCUAAACGUCAGCACGACGCCUCCUUAUCCCCGAGGAGGGGGCCGAUAUCGCGGUGCACGCCCCGUCUAUCGCCCGACGGGGAGGGCAGCUCUAACCCGCAGCGUGUGGGGGCCCUCCAACUGGGCUAAACGUCAGCACGACGCCUCCUUAUCCCCGAGGAGGGGGCCGAUAUCGCGGUGCGCGCCCCGUCUAUCGCCCGACGGGGAGGGCAGCUCUAACCCGCAGCGUGUGGGGGCCCUCCAACUGGGCUAAACGUCAGCACGACGCCUCCUUAUCCCCGAGGAGGGGGCCGAUAUCACGGUGCGCGCCCCGUCUAUCGCCCGACGGGGAGGGCAGCUCUAACCCGCAGUGUGUGGGGGCCCUCCAACUGGGCUAAACGUCAGCACGACGCCUCCUUAUCCCCGAGGAGGGGGCCGAUAUCGCGGUGCGCGCCCCGUCUAUCGCCCGACGGGGAGGGCAGCUCUAACCCGCAGCGUGUGGGGGCCCUCCAGCUGGGCUAAACAUCAGCACGACGCCUCCUUAUCCCCGAGGAGGGGGCCGAUAUCGCGGUGCACGCCCCGUCUAUCGCCCGAUGGGGAGGGCAGCUCCAACGCCGGCUCGCGAACAAGGCAGGUACGACCCAACACAGGGCAACGCGGAGCAGUCCCUCCCCAAAACACUGACAGGCGCACUAAGCAAGGCACGCCGCACUAUAACUCGGCCUCUUCACGACACGCAAGCAAGGCCCAACGGGGACGGGGUGCACAAGUUGCCCCUUAUGGAACUCACGUUGGGCAGCGACGUCCGCUUGUUGUUGGGCGCCGGCCGCCUUGAUGGGUAUGCCCCCAGACCCCGGCCGCUCCGGUGGCGUUCCAGGGAGGGGGCAAGCGGCGGCCGGCGCCUCCGCGACCUAUGCUGAAGCCGGUGCCCCACGGGCGCCCGCCCGCAAGCGCGCCCGAGCCCUGUCGACCGCUGCCUGCUGCUGGUCCCGGGGUAUGGCCUGGAGUUGUGGGCAGUUUUGAAAGCGGUGGCCCCGCUGGUUGCAGAUUAGGCACGUGACGUCCUCGGGGCCCUCUCGGGGGGGGCCCCCCCCGGGGGCCAACGUGGCGGCGAAGGACCGCUUGCAUCCGGACCGGCUGGCCGACUUAGUCUGUCCUGUAAGCGCCGCGCCCAGGUACGCUCGCUGCUCGGAGGAGAGAGAAGCGAGGCAGGCGACGAGGGAGGUCUUGUGCGGGUCCCCCUCCCUUGCCAGGCGGAUGACCUCCUUGUAGGGCAGUAGCUGUGACAUGUCGUUGAGCUGCUUCUGGGUCUGCUGCGCCUCGGAUGCUGUCUUGUAGUGCUGCGCCACCUGUUUGCUUGCUUUUGCUGUCCUCUGGCCGUGAUGACAAUGGUCCAUGGGGGUUCCUGUCCCCAAACAUCUCCUGCUAGCUGUUUGUUUGUUUGCUGGGUUGCUGUCCUCAUCAACUGUUGCGCCAUGUUUCUUUGCAGGCGCCAAGCAGCUUUGCUAUGCGGGAACUAGCGACUUGUGAGUUCAAAAGAUAAACCCUUGUGUGCCAAGCCCUUGAUAAUUUGGUAGCCGAUUAACUAUCUAAAGAAAGGUCGUCAAAACCACACCGCUGACCAACGGACAAUAACAGCGGCAGCUAGCAGCUGUUCUGGUAAAGAGAGCUCGUAUCAACCAGCAGCCGAGUCCGAGAUCACCCGGAAGAUAAUUCGACAAGACGAAACACCACCGAGCAAACAGCAGUUCAAAAUAACAACAAACUAACCGCACCGUACGACGCCG